GGGUUCUACUCUUCGAUAUCUUCGAUUUGACUAUUCGCACGCUUGAUUCUGACUCCAAUAACGCCUUCAAAUCCACGUUUGAUUAUGAAGAACACGAAGAACACCGCUCGGUUUCUCUCGGAAUUCGUGCAGAGAAACUGGUGAAAUGAUUUUACGGGUGAAAAUAAGCUCUAGAAAGGUCUAUUUAUAUUUACAAAUAAUUGGUACCCCUUUGGAUCGUUUAUGGCAUGAAAAUACGUAUUUAAUAGCUUUAUAUUAAUAAAGCGGGGUCCAAUCGGUACUGGUUUUCGAGAUAAUCAUCAAAACGGGGCUUUUUAACUCAAUUAUUGGUCUGCGGGUCCCACUGCAAUUAUUACAUGAUAAGGAUGAAGAAAAUAUCUCGGUUCACGUUUAUCGAGACAAACUGGGUAAUUAUCGACAAUUACAAUACCCGAAAAACUCCGCCGGACCGACUCCGGGGAAAACCGUACUCCGGAUCGAAAAAGUCAAAACACGAAAAAUGUCCGGAAUAUUCAAAUUAGGCUAAAGGUGAGUUUUGUCGAAACUUCC
rnacentral:lncRNA from 1 species